GGAAAAAAAAACUGGGGAGAACUAGGCGGCUUUCUGAUCAGAGUUCAGAUAAAAAGGGUCACAGUAAUUUGUGGGCACUGACUAAAAUAACCCAAUGGAUUUGAGAGUUACCGCAAAAGAAGCAAACAGACAAACUAAAGAGAACUUGAACUUGGGUACUGACAAAUGAAGAUGAUGAACUUAUGUUUUUUACCUUCUUACCGUGUAUAACUCCUACUUGAAGAGUGUGAGAGAAUAUUUACUACUCGGAUGUUUGAGACAUACCAAAAAAUGCUUUUUGAUCCUUUAUCAAGAAGACGUAAUGACCAAGAUUGAUAAAGAAAAAUGCAAUGGUUACUUUACCUGCAACCAUCUCAAAGACGCUCUAAUGUCAUUUCAGAGGACUUCAGCCAUGAACUUGGUGAUGAGCCAGAGAAGGUAACUUUUCAUCCCCUACAAGACCUCCCAGAGGCCUUUAUUCUUCUUACAGCGAUUCUGCUGUGAAUUCGUACGGAAUGGGCUCCAGCAGCUCAGGCUACUUUCCACUGGGUCUCACAAAGUGUGCUUCUCGAAGCAGGCUGGGGCUUCCCUUGAACCCAGAUUCCCACUUAUGUACCUAAAGGAGCAACUCCAUGUUUUCCAAAAGGCCUGAAAAACAUAUAGCAG
rnacentral:lncRNA from 1 species